rnacentral:rRNA from 1 species
UACAGAGGGGGCAAGCGUUGUUCGGAAUUACUGGGCGUAAAGCGCACGCAGGCGGUCUGUCAAGUCGGAUGUGAAAUCCCCGGGCUCAACCUGGGAACUGCAUUCGAAACUGGCAGGCUAGAGUCUUGUAGAGGGGGGUAGAAUUCCAGGUGUAGCGGUGAAAUGCGUAGAGAUCUGGAGGAAUACCGGUGGCGAAGGCGGCCCCCUGGACAAAGACUGACGCUCAGGUGCGAAAGCGUGGGGAGCAAACAGG